rnacentral:lncRNA from 1 species
AACUUCCUGUCCCCGCCCGGAGCUCACCACAGCUUCCUGCUGCGGGCGGGCAGGCGCUGAGUGUAGGAGAAGAGGGGAUCGGGGAACAGAACCGUCAGGACCAGGGACCAGAUGGAGACCACCUCUCUGGGCCCUAGCCUCCUCUGGCUCCUCAUUCUACUGUUCCCAGCCCUGCUUGUCACUGCCCUGUGUUUGUGUUGCCGGGACCUCCCUGGCCCCAACUCUGAGGUCCCCCCCAAGUGACGGCUCAUAUCAGCCAGGCAGCGGAUUAGUCAUCCUCAAACGCCCCUACACUAAUACUUCGUGGCCAUCUACAGUAUCCUGCCAGCCAGAUCUGCUCCCUAUCCCGAGAUCUCCACAACAUCCAGGGUUGUCAAACCGGAUUACUUCUCGGAGAGACGCAGACACCCGCAGUGAGCCCAGCUACGAGAAUGAGGAACCUGAGGAUGCCGAUGAAGAAGAUGACUACCAUAAUGAAGGCUAUCUUGAGGUUCUACCGGAUGACUGCCCGAAUUCCAACUCUGCACCUCUGUCCAACUCAACACCUAACCUGGGUAGUCCCGGCCUUAGGGAUAGUCCAUCUUCCAGUGAGUUGGGAGUGAUUGGGGGGGGGCCCCCCUGUGGCUUGCCAGGUUGGGGGGGAUUGGU